AUGUCGGCGGCGUCGGGCGCCGCGUGCCGCGUGUGUGGCGGGGGCGCUGAGGACUGCUCCUGCUUGCUGCAGCGCGGGAGAGGGGCUGCAGGGGUGCGGUGCGGGGUGGCCGACCUGAACCGGGGCUUCCCCGGGAUGUUCGGCCAGGCGGCGGAGGAGCCGGCCGUCGACGUCGUCGGCGCAGGCGGCGGCGCGGCGGCGGUGGGGCUGCAGGAGUUCCAGUUCUUCGGGCAGGAGGACCACGAGAGCGUGGCCUGGCUGUUCAACGACCACGCGCCCCUCGGCGGGGAGGACCGCCUGCAGCACCGCCCGGCGCCCACCGAGCAACUGCAGCGCCGCCAGGCGUUCGACGCGUACGCCGAGUAUCAGCCCGGACACGGCCUCACGUUCGACGUGCCCGUGCCGCUCAGCCGAGAUGUCGUCGACACGGCCAUUCUGGGGCUCGGAGGCGGCAACCCGGUCACGUCCGCCGCCGCAAUCAUGCAUUAUUGCGGGAGAGAAACGUUGACGUUCACGGAAGCCGCGGCCAGCUCGGUCGACCGGAACGACGACACGGCGGCGGGGCUGGCCAACGGCGGCGCGUACUCUGCCGGCCCAAGCGGCGGCGUCGUCGGCGACGUACCGGCACCAACGGAGCUGCGGGAGGCGAAGCUGAUGCGGUACAAAGAGAAGCGGAAGAGGCGGCGGUACGAGAAGCAGAUCCGGUACGCGUCCCGCAAGGCCUACGCCGAGAUGCGGCCGCGCGUCAAGGGACGGUUCGCCAAGGUGCCCGACGGCGGCGAGGGCGCGGCACCGUCGCCGUCGCCGCCGCAGCAGCCGACGCAGGCCGCCGACUACGAGCCCGGCCGGCUCGACCUCGGGUGGUUCCGCUCGUAG
rnacentral:rRNA from 1 species